GUGCUCUCUUAACAACAUCUCUUUAUGAUGGGCAUGUCAAAAUAUUUUAUGUUCUUUGUUCUUCUUGUACUAGUAAUGAUAAUAACCACUUCAAGUUUUGAAGCUAACCAUGUAUUUCUUCAACAUCCUAAAAGUGAUUAUUGGAAGAUGUUUUCAACGAUUGGUUUGGAGUGCAAAUGCUGUGAUGGUGAAGGAGGUGAAUGUACAAAGUCAUGGCAUGGAACUUGCUCAAAUUUUCAGUGCUCUUCUUGGAAACAAUAUUCAUCUCGAAAACCCUAAUUAAUUAAC